rnacentral:rRNA from 1 species
CAGGACGAACGCUGGCGGCGUGCCUAAUACAUGCAAGUCGAGCGGACCGACGGGAGCUUGCUCCCUUAGGUCAGCGGCGGACGGGUGAGUAACACGUGGGUAACCUGCCUGUAAGACUGGGAUAACUCCGGGAAACCGGGGCUAAUACCGGAUGCUUGAUUGAACCGCAUGGUUCAAUCAUAAAAGGUGGCUUUUAGCUACCACUUACAGAUGGACCCGCGGCGCAUUAGCUAGUUGGUGAGGUAACGGCUCACCAAGGCGACGAUGCGUAGCCGACCUGAGAGGGUGAUCGGCCACACUGGGACUGAGACACGGCCCAGACUCCUACGGGAGGCAGCAGUAGGGAAUCUUCCGCAAUGGACGAAAGUCUGACGGAGCAACGCCGCGUGAGUGAUGAAGGUUUUCGGAUCGUAAAACUCUGUUGUUAGGGAAGAACAAGUACCGUUCGAAUAGGGCGGCACCUUGACGGUACCUAACCAGAAAGCCACGGCUAACUACGUGCCAGCAGCCGCGGUAAUACGUAGGUGGCAAGCGUUGUCCGGAAUUAUUGGGCGUAAAGCGCGCGCAGGCGGUUUCUUAAGUCUGAUGUGAAAGCCCCCGGCUCAACCGGGGAGGGUCAUUGGAAACUGGGGAACUUGAGUGCAGAAGAGGAGAGUGGAAUUCCACGUGUAGCGGUGAAAUGCGUAGAGAUGUGGAGGAACACCAGUGGCGAAGGCGACUCUCUGGUCUGUAACUGACGCUGAGGCGCGAAAGCGUGGGGAGCGAACAGGAUUAGAUACCCUGGUAGUCCACGCCGUAAACGAUGAGUGCUAAGUGUUAGAGGGUUUCCGCCCUUUAGUGCUGCAGCAAACGCAUUAAGCACUCCGCCUGGGGAGUACGGUCGCAAGACUGAAACUCAAAGGAAUUGACGGGGGCCCGCACAAGCGGUGGAGCAUGUGGUUUAAUUCGAAGCAACGCGAAGAACCUUACCAGGUCUUGACAUCCUCUGACAACCCUAGAGAUAGGGCUUCCCCUUCGGGGGCAGAGUGACAGGUGGUGCAUGGUUGUCGUCAGCUCGUGUCGUGAGAUGUUGGGUUAAGUCCCGCAACGAGCGCAACCCUUGAUCUUAGUUGCCAGCAUUCAGUUGGGCACUCUAAGGUGACUGCCGGUGACAAACCGGAGGAAGGUGGGGAUGACGUCAAAUCAUCAUGCCCCCUUAUGACCUGGGCUACACACGUGCUACAAUGGGCAGAACAAAGGGCAGCGAAGCCGCGAGGCUAAGCCAAUCCCACAAAUCUGUUCUCAGUUCGGAUCGCAGUCUGCAACUCGACUGCGUGAAGCUGGAAUCGCUAGUAAUCGCGGAUC